rnacentral:rRNA from 1 species
CCUACGGGAGGCAGCAGUGGGGAAUAUUGGGCAAUGGGCGCAAGCCUGACCCAGCAAUGCCGCGUGAAGGAAGAAGGCUUUCGGGUUGUAAACUUCUUUGACAGGGGAAGAGCAGAAGACGGUACCCUGAAAACAAGCCACGGCUAACUACGUGCCAGCAGCCGCGGUAAUACGUAGGUGGCAAGCGUUGUCCGGAUUUACUGGGUGUAAGGGGCGUGUAGCCGGGAAGGCAAGUCAGAUGUGAAAUCCGGAGGCUCAACCUCCGAAUUGCAUUUGAAACUGUUUUUCUUGAGUACUGGAGAGGAAGACGGAUUUCCUGGUGUAGGGGAGAAAUGCGUAGAUAAAGGGAGGAACACCAGUGGCGAGGGCGGUCUGCUGGACGGAGAGUGACGGGGAGGCGCGAAAGCGUGGGGAGAAAACAGGAUUAGAGACCCCGGUAGUC